rnacentral:rRNA from 1 species
AAUGGGGGCAACCCUGAUCCAGCCAUUCCGCGUGAGUGAAGAAGGCCUUCGGGUUGUAAAGCUCUUUCGGCCGGGAAGAAAUCGCAUCUCCUAAUACGGGGUGUGGAUGACGGUACCGGAAGAAGAAGCACCGGCUAACUACGUGCCAGCAGCCGCGGUAAUACGUAGGGUGCGAGCGUUAAUCGGAAUUACUGGGCGUAAAGCGUGCGCAGGCGGUUUUGUAAGACAGGCGUGAAAUCCCCGGGCUCAACCUGGGAACUGCGUUUGUGACUGCAAGGCUAGAGUAUGGCAGAGGGGGGUGGAAUUCCACGUGUAGCAGUGAAAUGCGUAGAGAUGUGGAGGAACACCGAUGGCGAAGGCAGCCCCCUGGGCCAAUACUGACGCUCAUGCACGAAAGCGUGGGUAGCAAA